rnacentral:rRNA from 1 species
GAACGCUGGCGGCGUGCCUAACACAUGCAAGUCGAACGAAGCUCUGGAGCAGAUUCUUCGGAUGAAGUGAAGGAAGACUUAGUGGCGGACGGGUGAGUAACGCGUGAGCAACCUGCCUUUCAGAGGGGGAUAACAGUUGGAAACGACUGCUAAUACCGCAUAACGUAUCGUUGUCGCAUGGCAGUGAUACCAAAGCUGAGGCGCUGAAAGAUGGGCUCGCGUCCGAUUAGAUAGUUGGUGGGGUAACGGCCUACCAAGUCGACGAUCGGUAGCCGGACUGAGAGGUUGAACGGCCACAUUGGGACUGAGACACGGCCCAGACUCC